rnacentral:rRNA from 1 species
AUUGAACGCUGGCGGCAUGCUUUACACAUGCAAGUCGAACGGCAGCGCGGGCUUCGGCCUGGCGGCGAGUGGCGAACGGGUGAGUAAUGCAUCGGAACGUGCCCAGUAGUGGGGGAUAGCCCGGCGAAAGCCGGAUUAAUACCGCAUACGACCUGAGGGUGAAAGCGGGGGAGCGAAAGGCCUCGCGCUAUUGGAGCGGCCGAUGUGGGGUUAGCUAGUUGGUGGGGUAAAGGCUUACCAAGGCGACGAUCCGUAGCUGGUCUGAGAGGACGACCAGCCACACUGGGAGUGGACCACGGCCCAGACUCCUACGGGAGGCAGCAGUGGGGAAUUUUGGACAAUGGGGGCAACCAUGAUCCAGCCAUGCCGCGUGCGGUAAGGAGGCCUUGGGGUUGUAAACCGCUUUUGUUCGGGAAGAAAUCCUCUGGGCUAAUACCCCGGGGGGAUGACGGUACCGGAAGAAUAAGCACCGGCUAACUACGUG